UCCCAGAGAAGAAAACAGUCACAUGUCUUACCUCCUAUCCUAGUACCAGAGCCUGUAAAGGUGAACCCACUGGGGCUGGCUGGGGGAAAGGAGGAAGCUUGCUCCAGAAGGAACUGUCUGAGGGAU
rfam:Canis lupus familiaris chromosome 4, whole genome shotgun sequence.